UCCCUGGUGGUCCAGUGGUUAGGACUCUGUGUCUUCACUGCCAAGGGCCCAGGUUCCAUUCCUGGUCAAGGAA
rnacentral:tRNA from 1 species